CCAUAAGUGAGGAAUUUUUUUUAUUAAAAAACAAUACAUUUCUAUAUGUUGCAAGCUUAAGAGAAAAAGAUAUGGCUGAAAUUAUUAAGUUUAUUUACUUAAUGAUCAUUUUUAUUUCCUUAUUUCAUAACGUAACCGGCAAGAGGACAGGAUAAGAAGUGCAAAGAUAAUUCAGAUUGUUUACUAUAUUUUUGUGUAUCUCCUUAUGUUCCAAAGUGCAUUGGUUUUAAAUGUAGAUGUCGUCCAUUAAGCCUAUCUUUAGAUUGAUGAGAUAUGAUGGAAUGAAAUGAUAUAUAAUAAGAUUCUAUUGUAUGCAUUGAUGAAAUGUAAAUGAAAUGGAAUGAAAUACAAUGGAACCAAUUUCAUUCAAUAUUACUCGAUCUUUCAAUUUUUCGUCUCACUCAAUUUAAGGUGUAUCUAGUGGAAUGAAACUUAAGUCUUGAAAUUCAAAUACAUGGAUACUUAUUUUAUUUGUCUCUUCCUCUACUAAGAUACUUAUCUCUCACGUUCUUUCUCCACCUUCUUCCUACCGAUUGCUCAUUUCACUUUCUUGUUCUUCACAAUCAUAGUAGAUCUUCCUUGCUAAG
rnacentral:lncRNA from 1 species